CCCGGCCCGGCGCUUUACCCCGCGGCUCCUGCCAGGUGUCGGGCUGCCUCCUCCCCGCCUGGCAGGACCUGCUGCGCCUUCUGCCUCGGCCAGCCCUCGGGGAUCUGAGUCACCGCUUCAAAGGGCCAGGGGUGGCUCUUUGCGCCUCUUCCCUCUCAUAGUCCUUAAAGGCUGCAUCUGAGCACCCCCACCCGCUCCAGCUGCUCGACCCUGUUCCCUGCCGGGAUCGUCGGGCUCAUCUCAGCCCCGGCGCCAAAGCUCUCGAGUGUCUCCUAACGCAGCCAGGCGCUGCCAGCUUCCACCGUGCCGCUCAGACAAGUGAACAGAGGUACGCCCAUUAACAUCUCAAACAGAACUGGAAAAUUAAGGCCAACAGAGAAACUGCAGGAGACCGGGAGUUAAAAAUAAGGACGGGCCUGGCUGGAGGGAGAGCAGAGGAGAAUCAGCCCUGCAGAACAAGCUCCAGUGCAACCUUCGGAAGGACAGAGCACAUGAAGCGGUGAUGGCCUCUUUGCCCCUCUCCGCUUCUCUUCACGUGAGUGAUUCAGCAGUGGGAUUCAGCAGCACAGAGGCAGCCUUUGCUGUUCGAUCCCUACUGCAUGGAGAGUUAGACGCUAAGUGUUCGGGGCAAGGGCAGGCCUUCCUUCCCAUGUUUUGUUGUGCUGCCUCAGCCGCCCCAGUGGCCUCACUCGUGUUUGUACUUCUGCCCUUCCUAUGCUUUGCGUUGCUCUGAACCUCUUCUUUGGCUCAGAGCCACUGCUUCUGCGCCGUCUCUGGCCCAUGUUCAGUCAUGCCUGCUUGUAGACAGUUGGGUGGGUCUCUCACACUAUGCAGAACUUUUCAUUGCACCCUGUUUGCGCGUGCUACCAGGAGGAGAGCUACGAGGAGAGCGGCAAGCCACCUCUGCUACUUGCCUGGUACGGCACCACGUGUGCUGCAGACCUCUCAGCAAUGAGACCGGCUGCCGGGCAGUGAGCUCCAGGAGGGGUAGGGGGCAGUUAGUAAAGGGAAAGGGAAUCGCCAAGAAAAGGGGGAAAAAACCCAACUCCAAACUCCAUGGCCGAUACUGCAAGGAGCUGGGGAGCACAGCCAGCAAGUGGAGGAACUUCCUAGAAAGCAAAUGAGGGUGAGGGGACUGGAGCCCCAAACAGCUGAGGCAGAAGCACCCGCUGCCCCCCCCAGCCUGGCAGCUUGUAUCUUAAGUAUUGUCUCUGGAAGCCGAGGUAAUAACCUUGGAAAACUCACUCACGGUCAGGCCUGUUCCCUGGACCCGGCCAUCUCAUUUACCUGUGUCCUCCCAGGCCAUGGAGGAGGUCUGGAUGGCCAGGUCUUCAGUUUAUGCAGUGCGUUCUAUGGAGCACCCCGAUCUCCUGGGCAGACCUCGUUCUCUUAAGUAUGCUAACUGGGGGGUAGAAGCAGUGGAACAGAUAUCGCUAGUUUUCCUGAAGGACAGUAUGUUAUGAGAAAAAAAUUAAAAUGCAAUUUAAUAGGUCAAUGGGAUUUUCUUGAACAUAUAGUUAGUUACUCAUUGCUAUUUGUAGGACUAUUGUUUGAAUAUGCAGCCUUCAGACUUUUUUUUUCAUUAUGGCUUUGAAGAACAAACUCAUACUUGUUUUAACAAGUCACAUCAGGGGAGAUGUUAUUCUGUGCUCUCCACCCACACAACCCUGGGAUUUAUUUUCAUUUGAGAGCUUGUUAAACAUAGCAGCAAUCAACUGAAGAAACCAAUGUUCCAAGGCACAAAGGAUUCGCACCUAUAAAUCAUGAACUUCAGUAGUGGGAAAGGACCAUCGUUGCUUUGAAAUGGAACGGUUGCGCUCUUCAACGCUACAAGAGCUUGGCUGUAGCUUUUAGUUCUGUGACACCAAGUGACUGAUCAGAUUAUAUCUAUGUAGGUUCACGUGCUCUCUGUCCACCCUUCCUAUACAGAUGGGCCUAAGGGGAAGGACAGAAAAAUAAAAAGCAUCUGACAAUCACGAAGUGACAAACUUGCAGUAGAAUUCAGUCCUACAGUAGGAUGUGAGGGACCAGAUUUCACCCCAACUCCUGCCUGGGGGUGGUUUGUGCAGCUGUAGCAGCGGUUACCCCAUGACAGCCAUUGAUCACCUUCACAGAAGGCUCCGGGCCAUGGUUGUGCGUGUGUGUCUGCAGUUUUUUCAGUGUGCUUAAGGAAUUCUCCUAUUAAGGGAAUUACAAAUUUAGUAUGAAACUUCUGGGAUAGCUAAAAUAUGAAUAUUGUGAAGACUUGUUAUUCCAAGUCAGGGACAUUUGGAAAUAUUUAUGCCAGUCAGAGAGAGACAGCGUAGUAUUUUAGGAAUUAGCCACUCACUUUACGGGUCAGUCGUGUUGUCUGUGAAUAGCCACUUCCUUCCUCCUCUUCCUCGUAGAGUUUUGCCCUACUUAACUCUGGAACAGAAUUUAUACCCCCACAUUGAGAAAGUUCUGAAUUUUUUUACUUUGCUUUUUCUUUUUCCUUUGCAAAAUAUUUUAGCAGCACCAGCUGGGCAGGGAUUUUUAAGCUGUUUCCUAAGACAGAACUGCUUGCUCCAAGGGUGCAAUUUUUCCCCUAAAUACAGUUUCUCCAACUGCAUAAAGACGUAACUAAAAUAAAAUCCUUUCUCCUUUCAUUCCCUCGCUGCGGUUACAGUGUAUUGUGUGAUCUCAAGUAGCGGGGAAGCUCAACUCUCCAAAUGAGGAACUUCAAAAACGUGUUUAGCAGCAGUGAUUUAGUACAUGGUGUUCAGGAAACACCUCCUGUACGGCUCCGCGCUCCGGUCAGCGCUGCUAUUUCUGAUUUAGGAUUAAUGAACAUUUCCUCUCAGGUAAAGAAAAUGUGCUCCUGAAAUUGAACAACUCGGAAACUGCGGCUCUGCCACUCGUGCAGUCCCUACGGGCAACAGCGGCACCGCAGCGUCACCCUGUCCAUUUGCCUGACUGUCUGUCUGUCAGGCCUAGCGGUAGGGUUAGGAUGCAGGAACAAUAAGAUGUCUCAGAAGGAGUCAAUGCAGUUACGCUUUAAUGUGUUUUUACAUCCUUUUACGAUUCACAAAGCCAGAAUAUAAGUACUUAUACAUUUUUAAUAGGAAAGUAAUAUAUUCCCCUAAAAGAAAAAUAGAUUUGAUUAAUCAUUUGUCAUAAAAGUUGCCUGACAGUUGAAACUUCAAGCUUCUAAGCUAGAAAAGCUCAAAUAGACAAAUUAUACUGAAAUGUUCUUUAAAGACCAAGCAGCUGUUUUAUUAAAAUAUUAAAUUUACAUUUUAAAAAGAAAUAUUCUGAUUUAUUAUUCAAUGAUGAUAAUCUUACUGAAGUGACAUGAAAUUCAUGACAAUGGGCUUUAUUCUGUCCAAAUUCUGUCCUCAGUUAUCCACAGGCAAGCAGUUUUGCCGUUAUUUAGAAGUGUGCAAGAUCACACACACAGAGAAGCACCAUUCUGGAAAGACAAAUCCGAGAUACUGCAUUCAACUCAGUUCUAAUUUUCCCCAGAGAAAGUGGGUUUUCGGGUCUGGGACUAGGGCUGGAUCCAGCGCCUGCUGCAGUGAGGCCCUGGGGCAGGCCCGCAGCACCCAUCCAAAUCUCACCGUCACAAGAGAAAGGAUUUUGGAAUGCACCGACUUCGUCCCGCAGCACAAGUGAAUGACCUUCAAACAACUUGAAGCGGGUUGAAUUUACAUUUUACUUCAAAAAAAAAAGGGAAAGUACAUACAUGAGGGGGAAAUGGGGUGAACAACAAUUAUCUGAAACCAGGUUUCUACCAUUUUUACCCACAGUUACCAACUGCGUUUGAAGCAGCAGGGCUCUUGCCAGCUGUCGCACGCUCGCUUACAAUAUGGACAGGAUUGUGGAGCAAGGAAACAUUUUCAAAGUUGAGGCCCACAUGGAAAUAGUAAGGUAUCAUACACGGUGUAAGUUUAUAGUACACAGCAUUUUUUUUUUUUAAAUGACGUAACGCAACAGCAGGAAGGAGUAGUAGUAGUUAACGGUUACUAACACUAGAAUAAUCAAAUUUGUAUGUUAUACAUAUACAGCAACUAACUGCUUUACAAAAAAAGCAAAAUAAUACAAUAUAUUGUCACAUGUAUUUACAGUGUAGUAAAUAUACUUUUCUGUCAAAUUUUACACAAAAACUAUUUACAGGUGAAUAUACUGCAUUAAAAAAAAAUUGUGGGACCAACACUAAAAGUGACUUUCUGUGGUAAGUUUGUUGCAUAACAAUAAGACGUGCUUCAUUACAUUUGGGAAAAAAAAAAAUUAACCUUAGAAUGAAACAGAAAAAGCCCUAAAACCUACAACCCAGUUAGGAAUAGAGCACUGGAACGCUCCCAGGUGCUCAGUCCACAAUACGGAUUUGAAACGUUUCCUGUUCUUGGAAACCUCAUGCACAUUAAAGCAGAAACAUUGGCAUAAUUAACAGGUAGGUUAUGCACUAUCCAAAUACUACUGAAUUAUCUUUUAAGUCAGGGAAAAUACAAACACAAACAAAACGUUAAUCGUCUUUACAGUACUUAACUGUAGUUAGUGCGUAAUGGGUAACGUGUUCUAAAACAGGGGUGUCAGACAUACAGUCCCCGGGAUGUAGUUAGGUGGUCCAUGUGUUAAAAUCGGAUUUUUCCGAAUCGUUAAGUUUUCGUUUCAAAGUACACAGACUCCACGGCUGCAGCAGCCCAGGCAGGAGCGACCGCCCGGCAGGCGCUGGAGGGUCGGAACGCUCGGAUCCGUCUCCCGCUCGUCAGGCCGGGUUUCAAUCCCGCACCGUCACCAGCAGCUACCUGCCGGUCACUGGGAGCACAAACGGAGCAGCGGGGUGGGGAGAGCACGGAAGCAGGCGGGACUGGGAACUGAGCGUGGUGCGCAUGGCAAUGCAACGGAGCGGGAUGGGGAAUAUUCAAAAGAGGAGAACAAAGAAAAGAGGAUGCCAGAAAGAAAACAAAAAGGCAAAAUAACAGCAAUGGCUGUUACAGGGGCAGGCUGAGCGAUGACUGUGACAGUAAGGCACUGAACAACUACUUACUGAUAGGAGUUCAAUCACUAACCAACAGCUGCAUUUUCCCCCUGGAUCACAGCACAAGCUUCCCAGCCACCGGUGCUGGGAGGUGACUGCCUUGCACGUCAGGCGCACGGGAUCCUGAAUUCAACCCCAGCCCUUGGCUGUAAUUACACCCAAAUCCAGCCCCCGUUACCCGACGCAUUUGACACUCCUGCUCUAAGGAAGUUCAGGUCCUCUCACUGAACCACGCAGUGAAAACAUCAAAUGACUCCCACUCCUCCCAGGAAACAGAAUAAAUUAAAUUUUAUUGACUCACUUUAUGAAGACAGCAGUUUUUUUUCAGCUGGGACUGAGAGCCUGGAGUAGUUCUAGUUCUCACGUGAAAUGUGAUUUUAAUCACUGUCCAUUUUGGUUUCACAUUAUAUGUAUUUCAGAGAAUGCAUUAAUUCUAACUUAGGGACGUUUUUGGGUUUUUUUUUUUUAUAUAGGCGAUGCAAAAAUAUCGCAAGGGUUGCUCUCAAAUGCACCCAGCCCCAACAAAGCUGGCGUGGUAGUUCAUCUGGAAUUACUGCUUCUGUUAAAAGAAAACCUGCUCGUAGGAGAAGCACCUCAGAGCUGUCUUUUGCUAACAGCAAAUUACCUUUCCAAGAGGUUAUUUUUUCCUCCUACCUACAAGUCUUCAGGCUCCUACAAUUCAUUGUCUUCAGCACAACGGAAAGGGCUGGGAUUAGCUUGAUUGGUUGGGUAUAACCGAGUGCAAACUGGCGGCGAUGCUGAAGGCGGCUCUUUGCCACUGCUGUAUGAGAUGAGAACGGUUUUUAAAUGAGUGACUCCCAAAGCUUUACGGCGUAGCAGCUCGGACACGCAGGAGCCACCACUCUAUUCCUACGAUCAGUUCUAGCCUCCCGAUCCCUUUCAGAGUUCUGCAUCAGUUCAG